CGAGAGGCCCAAACGUUAUUCGGAAUUACUGGGCUUAAAGAGUUCGUAGGCGGCAUUGCAAGUAGGGUGUGAAAGCCCUCGGCUCAACCGAGGAAUUGCGCUCUAAACUGCAGUGCUUGAGGAACCUAGAGGUGAGCAGAACAGAUGGUGGAGCGGUGAAAUGCGUUGAUAUCAUCUGGAAUACCGGAGGCGAAGGCGGCUCACUGGGAGUUUUCUGACGCUGAGGAACGAAAGCCAGGGCAGCGAACGGGAUUAGAUACCCCGGUAGUCCUGGCCGUAAACGAUGAGCACUAGGCCGGAGCCCUGCACAGGGUUUCGGCCGUAGCUAAAGUGUUAAGUGCUCCGCCUGGGGAGUAUGGUCGCAAGGCUG
rnacentral:rRNA from 1 species